GGGCCCGUAGCUCAGGUGGUAGAGCACAUCCCUUUUAAGGAUGGUGUCGAUGGUUCGAAUCCAUCCGGGCUCA
rnacentral:tRNA from 1 species